UACGUAGGGGGCAAGCGUUGUCCGGAAUCAUUGGGCGUAAAGAGCGCGUAGGCGGUCCGGUAAGUCCGCUCUGAAAGUCCGGGGCUCAACCCCGGGAGGCGGGCGGAUACUGUCGGGCUAGAGUCCGGAAGAGGCGAGUGGAAUUCCUGGUGUAGCGGUGAAAUGCGCAGAUAUCAGGAGGAACACCAAUGGCGAAGGCAGAUCUCUGGGCCGUAACUGACGCUGAGGAGCGAAAGCAUGGGGAGCGAACAGG
rnacentral:rRNA from 1 species